rnacentral:rRNA from 1 species
UACGUAGGGACCGAGCGUUGUCCGGAAUUACUGGGCGUAAAGCGCACGUAGGCGGCUACUCAAGUCAGAGGUGAAAGCCCAGGGCUCAACCCUGGAACUGCCUUUGAAACUAGGUAGCUAGAAUCUUGGAGAGGUCAGUGGAAUUCCGAGUGUAGAGGUGAAAUUCGUAGAUAUUCGGAAGAACACCAGUGGCGAAGGCGACUGACUGGACAAGUAUUGACGCUGAGGUGCGAAAGCGUGGGGAGCAAACAGG